AGGGUUCGAUUCUGGCUCAGGAUGAACGCUGGCGGCGUGCCUAACACAUGCAAGUCGAACGGACUUUUCAUGAAGCCUAGCGAUUGAAAAGUUAGUGGCGGACGGGUGAGUAACGCGUGGGUAACCUGCCUUACACAGGGGGAUAACAGUUAGAAAUGACUGCUAAUACCGCAUAAAACAGCAGAGUCGCAUGACUCAACUGUCAAAGAUUUAUCGGUGUAAGAUGGACCCGCGUCUGAUUAGCUUGUUGGUGGGGUAACGGCCUACCAAGGCAACGAUCAGUAGCCGGCCUGAGAGGGUGAACGGCCACAUUGGGACUGAGACACGGCCCAA
rnacentral:rRNA from 1 species